rnacentral:rRNA from 1 species
GACGAACGCUGGCGGCGUGCUUAACACAUGCCAGUCGAACGGUGAAGCGCCUUCCUUUUUGGUGGGUGUGGAUGAGUGGCGAACGGGUGAGUAACACGUGAGUAACCUGCCCCCUUCUUCUGGAUAACCGCAUGAAAGUGUGGCUAAUACGGGAUAUUCUGGGUCUGUCGCAUGAUGGGUCUGGGAAAGAUAUUGUUUCGGUGGGGGAUGGGCUCGCGGCCUAUCAGCUUGUUGGUGGGGUGAUGGCCUACCAAGGCGGUGACGGGUAGCCGGCCUGAGAGGGUGGACGGUCACACUGGGACUGAGACACGGCCCAGACUCCUACGGGAGGCAGCAGUGGGGAAUAUUGCACAAUGGGCGCAAGCUGAUGCAGCGACGCCGCGUGAGGGAUGGAGGCCUUCGGGUUGUGAACCUCUUUCGCCAGUGAAGCAGGCCUGCCUCGUUUGUGGGUGGGUUGACGGUAGCUGGAUAAGAAGCGCCGGCUAACUACGUG